UACGGGGGGGGCAAGCGUUGUUCGGAAUUACUGGGCGUAAAGGGCUCGUAGGUGGCCAACUAAGUCAGACGUGAAAUCCCUCAGCUUAACUGGGGAACUGCGCCUGAUACUGGAUGGCUCGAAUCCGGGAGAGGGAUGUGGAAUUCCAGGUGUAGCGGUGAAAUGCGUAGAUAUCUGGAGGAACACCGGUGGCGAAGGCGGCAUCCUGGACCGGUAUUGACGCUGAUGCGCGAAAGCCAGGGGAGCAAACGGG
rnacentral:rRNA from 1 species